rnacentral:lncRNA from 1 species
UAAGGAGGUGGGAGGACGUCCCAAGGCAGCCUAAAACUAACCCUAGGUCGUACAAGGCCAAUGGGCCCAAGUGGAGGUGACGUAACACCUUUGGACUUGUAGUUUGACUCGGAUUCUGGUGCAGCGUCAGAUUCUUUCGUCCAUAACUCAACGCUCCCGACGGAUUUUAAGAUGAUUCCAAUUGUGCUGGAAAGAACAUGAAAUCUACUUUCCAACAAAAAAAGAAUCACCCAAUUAGGAGUCCGUAUGAAAAAGUUGUUGGCGUUUUGAGUCAGGUAUGUCUGUGCAGUCCGAAUCUGAAUCCAGAACGUGAGAGACUUGGACUCUAUCUUCUCUUGGCCCAAAAGUGAUGUGAGAAGACUUUUUGAACAACACCUAAACUUCUCCUUUUCCCUUAUCUUCAUAUGUGGAUUGUACAAAUGUUCCAUACACCUGCAAUUAGACAAAACACAAAAGUAUGUGAAGUAUUUUUGUUCUAGAUAACAUAAAUAUAUUAUUGAAUAGUUUGCACUAGAAAUCACCUGACAAAUAUGCAUGUAUGCAAUAUUUUUGGUCUUAUCCAAGGUAGUCAUGUCCUCAUCAUCCUCCCCUUCUUGAAAACAAAGCCGUCCUCGGCGUUGCUUAAUCUGAAAUGUGGCUAACAAAAGAGACAAGGUGUACAUGUUGUAUAUGUAUACGUCAUCCAUUUUUAUUUGAUUUUUGCAUAUAUGACACAUGAAUAGAUGAGUACCUUGCAUAGUUCAUAAAAUCUAAAGCCAACAAAUUAGCACAAGAACUAGAAGGCAUGAAAAUAUUGCAACUCAGUUUGCACAUAUAAGUGAAGCUCUUAUUUAUUUCAAAAGAUUGACAAUGUUCAUCAUGAAACCAUCCCAACAUUGGUGAAUAAACCUUAUUUGAAUCAAAUUUACAUGCUACAACAUGCUUAGGUAAGCAAACAUGCAAUGAGUCAUUCGACACAGAAUCAUCACCAAGAUUAGAGGUCAUAUCAAAAUGAUUAAACAUUGAUUCUUUUGCAUCAACAGUUAAUUCAAUGGGUGUUCUCAAAAUUGUUGGUAUUUUAGUUGUUUGAUCACAUGGCAAAGUCAAAUUAUCAAUAUAAUCCUCUAAAAUAGGUGGUGUGAUCAAAGUAGUGGGUAGCUCAACACAUGAUGUAUUCAAGUUAACUAGGCAUGCAUCAUUUUCAUGUAAAAGUGGAAAAUCUGUACCUUUGUCAUUACCUCUUAUAGUCAACUCAGAUGAUGCAGGCACUCUCGAUGGUGAUGUGUCACAUGGUGGAGAUGAUGUAGUCCUCGCAACAACGGAUGUGGUUGUCAUAGUACGCCUAGUAGUUGAAUAAACAUCUGUAUCAACAGUUGGAAUGUGCACCGUGCGCUUGUUCUCCUUGUGGGCAACACGUCAUUUUAUUUCAUGUUCAGCUUUGCAAGCAAGACGAAACAAAUGGUCCAUAGGAUAACACUCUUUAUGAAUUAAUAUCUCCUGAAUAUUAUGGUUUAAUCCUCCCCAAAAUCUAUCCAUAAAAUCUUCUUCACUUUCUUCUAAAAAUGAGUGCAACAAGGUAGUUUGUAAAUCAUCAUAAUAUUUUGUUACGGUGUCACUACCUUGUUUUAAAUGUUCCAGUUUUUUAAUCAUGCCACGAGUAUAAUAAACAUCGACGAAUCUAUCUCUCAUGACAUGUUUUAAAUCAUCCCAACUAUUAGGUACAUAAUCAGGGUGUAACCGACAAUAUUCACUCCACCAAACUAGAGCAUAACCAGUGAAAGAACCAACCGCAACCGUAACUUUUUUACGUUCAUCAAAAUUAUGGGAAGCAAAUAUAUUAUUUAUGUCUAACUCCCAUUCAAUAUAUAAAGCAGGUCUAAAACGGCCAUUAAAAGGUGGUAUAGAAACAUGAACCUGAUCAGGUGCAUUUGGAUGUUUGUGCACCUCUCGUGACGGUUGUGGUAUUUGCAUAGGUGGUGGCAUGUCUCCCGCGAUCGACAAAGCCCAUGAUUUAACUCUGGAUCCUGUCAUGAUUAGUAGAACAAGAAACAAAAUCCAAAAAUAAUGUUCCUAUAACUACUAGGAUGUGGUGGUAAAACGCUCACAGUAAAGCAAAUAUCAAUGUCUUACAAGUUCUUACCAUGCAGCAGGCGGUGAUCGGCAACCAGCGGUGUCAAGUAACUCCGAAUAUUGAGUAAAGCGAUUGCCAGAGGAGCGUAUGUAUACACGGUGUAGAAAUAUGUGGAGCUGGGUUGGCUAUAUAUGGUAGCAAAAGAUUAGCAAUAAUCAAUUCAAAGAUGCAAUGUUGAAUAAACGCUCAACGACGGUACUGUGCUGGUCCUAGGCUAGACCGGACUAGAGACGCGAGCCUAGAACACUAAUGAGGUCACAGCGUAGCACAACUAGCAUCAAUGAAGGAUACUAAGUAGCUCUUGACAACAAGAUAUAAGUGAAGAUAAUGAUGAAAAAAAAACUGCCAAGCAGGAUAUACAACAACUCUCUCUCCAACUUUCCUCUUGAAAAGUUUGAGCCAAUUUUCUGAUAAAUUUUUCCAAAGAAUGCUACUAACUCAAGCUUUCCAAUGCAAAAAGAAUCACUCAAUUCCGAGUUGAUAUGAGGAGUCAAAGAAUUCUAAAACUGGCCUGAAAAAUUGGAACAAGCUGUGUUCACGAACUUCGGAGGGCAAAAAGUCCUAUUUAGAAGCCGAUUUUGAGGUGUCAAAUAUUGAAUUAGCUUCUGCAACUAUUCACAUGCGGCUCAUCGCUAGCUUCAAUUUGAGUACCCACGGAGCCAAAACGGACUUCGUAUGAGGAAGAUACACCUGUUUUACUGAACAGUGCGCAAAACAGAUUGUAAUCCGAAUUCAGGUACGAGAAUGAUUCUAGAUAGAUCCGAUUUUUUUCUUCUCUCUUUUUUUCCUCACGAUUUUUUUUCUUUUUCUUCUCUCUCUUUUUCUUUUUUUUUCUUUCCUUUUUCCUGUCUUUUUUUUCUCUUUUUUUCUCCCUCUUUCCAAGACAAACUAGAUAAGAUGCAGAUUGGAUCAGGCGAAGAUGUGAAUGACCUCAACUAUGAUUAUGACAAUGAACAGCGCGUAGCACGUGGUGGAAAUUAAUAGAUGGGAUGGUGGACAGCGGAAGGGAUAAUGAUGCAGCGGCGGCGUGACUAAUGUGAACAGAACUCGAAACUCUAAAGGAACUAGACACUAAGACCAGCAACUGACACGAUGAUGCAAUCGAUAAUUCAACUAUGCAAGCAACGAAUAGAAAAUUGCAAAGGCUCAGACUGGCUUGGAUAAAGGAUGAACAGAUCUAACUUUUUUUUGUGGCUUUUUCAUGGACUAUAGGUAUGAAUGACAGACGCGAUCUAAACUAUGUAAAACUGUAAAAUCUCACCGAGCAACCUGAAAACUGAUACCACUUGAUAGAGGCGGGGUGUCUCGAUCUUUCGAUGAGAUGAUAACUAUCGAUUUGGUGGAGACGACUUUGACGAUCCGACUACAAACAUGCACGACGUUGCGCCUUAGCAAUCGCUAAACCAAUCUCCUGAGGUUACUGACGAUGCCGGAAGCACGAUCAGCCUGACCACGAAGGUCUAUUCCUGCAAGCAAUCGAAGAACAAGCAAGAAUAUGAUAAAGCAAUCUGAAUAUUGCGAAUAUGGAUGAAGUAUUAAUAAUGGUGGAGAUCCGAAAGUGGUCUUGGUCUGGUCGUUGGACACAAACGAAGUACACGAAGUUGCGUUGGCUAACUUUCAACUAAACAAAUCCCAAGGGAAAAGCUACUAGAUGGAUCUACUUAUAUAGGAGUAAGGGGUGGCGGCCAAGGAGGUGGGAGGACGUCCCAAGGCAGCCUAAAACUAACCCUAGGUCGUACAAGGCCAAUGGGCCCAAGUGGAGGUGACGUAACACCUUUGGACUUGUAGUUUGACUCGGAUUCUGGUGCAGCGUCAGAUUCUUUCGUCCAUAACUCAAUGCUCCCGACGGAUUUUAAGGUGAUUCCAAUUGAGCUGGAAAGAGCAUGAAAUCUACUUUCCAACAAAAAAAGAAUCACCCAAUUCAGAGUCCGUAUGAAAAAGUUGUUGACGUUUUGAGUCAGGUAUGUCUGUGCAGUCCGAAUCUGAAUCCAGAACGUGAGAGACUUGGACUCUAUCUUCUCUUGGCCCAAAAGUGACGUGAGAAGACUUUUUGAACAGCACCUAAACUUCUCCUUUUCCCUUAUCUUCAUAUGUGGAUUGUACAAAUGUCCCAUACACCUGCAAUUAGACAAAACACAAAAGUAUGUGAAGUAUUUUUGUUCUGGAUAACAUAAAUAUAUUAUUGAAUAGUUUGCACUAGAAAUCACCUGACAAAUAUGCAUGUAUGCAAUAUUUUUGGUCUUAUCCAAGGUAGUCAUGUCCUCAUCAG